CUGACCUAGCGGCGGACGGGUGAGUAAUGCUUAGGAAUCUGCCUAUUAGUGGGGGACAACAUUCCGAAAGGAAUGCUAAUACCGCAUACGCCCUACGGGGGAAAGCAGGGGAUCUUCGGACCUUGCGCUAAUAGAUGAGCCUAAGUCAGAUUAGCUAGUUGGUGGGGUAAAGGCCUACCAAGGCGACGAUCUGUAGCGGGUCUGAGAGGAUGAUCCGCCACACUGGGACUGAGACACGGCCCAGACUCCUACGGGAGGCAGCAGUGGGGAAUAUUGGACAAUGGGCGAAAGCCUGAUCCAGCCAUGCCGCGUGUGUGAAGAAGGCCUUUUGGUUGUAAAGCACUUUAAGCGAGGAGGAGGCUACUUGGAUUAAUACUCUAGGAUAGUGGACGUUACUCGCAGAAUAAGCACCGGCUAACUCUGUGCCAGCAGCCGCGGUAAUACAGAGGGUGCGAGCGUUAAUCGGAUUUACUGGGCGUAAAGCGUGCGUAGGCGGCUUUUUAAGUCGGAUGUGAAAUCCCUGAGCUUAACUUAGGAAUUGCAUUCGAUACUGGGAAGCUAGAGUAUGGGAGAGGAUGGUAGAAUUCCAGGUGUAGCGGUGAAAUGCGUAGAGAUCUGGAGGAAUACCGAUGGCGAAAGGCAGCCAUCUGGCCUAAUACUGACGCUGAGGUACGAAAGCAUGGGGAGCAAACAGGAUUAGAUACCCUGGUAGUCCAUGCCGUAAACGAUGUCUACUAGCCGUUGGGGCCUUUGAG
rnacentral:rRNA from 1 species